CCUACGGGCGGCAGCAGUGAGGAAUAUUGGUCAAUGGGCGCGAGCCUGAACCAGCAAAGUAGCGUGAAGGAUGACUGCCCUACGGGUUGUAAACUUCUUUUAUAAAGGAAUUAAGUGAGGCACGUGUGCCUUUUUGUAUGUACUUUUUGAAUAAGGAUCGGCUAACUCUGUGCCAACAGCCGCGGUAAUACGGAGGAUCCGGGCGUUAACCGGAUUUAUUGGGUUUAAAGGGUGGGUAGAUGGGUUGUUAAGUUAGUUGUGAAAGUUUGCGGGUCAAACGUAAAAUUGCAAUUGAUACUGGCAGUCUUGAGUACAGUUGAGGUAGGCGGAAUUCGUGGUGUAGCGGUGAAAUGCUUAGAUAUCACGAAGAACUCCGAUUGCGAAGGCAGCUUACUAAACUGCAACUGACAUUGAUGCUCGAAAGUGUGGGUAUCAAACAGGAUUAGAUACCCUAGUAGUC
rnacentral:rRNA from 1 species